rnacentral:rRNA from 1 species
GAAAACGGUGAAAAGUCCAGUCGGCCGGCGGGCAAGAGGUCCCGGUCCAAGGUAAUCCACCGAAGCUGCUGCAGCGACGCUUAUGCGUUGUUGGGUAGGGGAGCGUUCUGUAAGCCUGUGAAGGUGUGCUGUGAGGCAUGCUGGAGGUAUCAGAAGUGCGAAUGCUGACAUAAGUAACGAUAAAGCGGGUGAAAAGCCCGCUCGCCGGAAGACCAAGGGUUCCUGUCCAACGUUAAUCGGGGCAGG